GGGUGGAGGGACGCACAUCCAAACCACAUCAGUGGCAUAUCAGUAUCUUUCUUUCUAAAAGUGAGAUAUAUUAACUCAUCGUGUGGUACACUUUGCAGAGGCUGUUCCAUUGGAAAGAGAACCGACUUCCAGGACAGAGGUUCUUCUGAUCUUUGGGCUUGAGCUCUUCCAUUCCUGAGCUGUCUCCAUCAUGGACUUCUUGUAAUAAAUCUAGAUCUAAACAGGCAAGGGAAAAAUAGAAAUAGCUAACAAACAUGAAAAUGUGCUC
rnacentral:lncRNA from 1 species